rnacentral:rRNA from 1 species
UGGGGAAUUUUGGACAAUGGGCGCAAGCCUGAUCCAGCAAUGCCGCGUGCAGGAUGAAGGCCUUCGGGUUGUAAACUGCUUUUGUACGGAGCGAAAAGGUCUGCCCUAAUACGGUGGGCUCAUGACGGUACCGUAAGAAUAAGCACCGGCUAACUACGUGCCAGCAGCCGCGGUAAUACGUAGGGUGCGAGCGUUAAUCGGAAUUACUGGGCGUAAAGCGUGCGCAGGCGGUUUUGUAAGACAGAGGUGAAAUCCCCGGGCUCAACCUGGGAAUUGCCUUUGUGACUGCAAGGCUUGAGUGCGGCAGAGGGGGAUGGAAUUCCGCGUGUAGCAGUGAGAUGCGUAGAUAUGCGGAGGAACACCGAUGGCGAAGGCAAUCCCCUGGACCUGUACUGACGCUCAUGCACGAAAGCGUGGGGAGCAAACA